UCCUCUCCCUCGGGCCCCCGGGAGGCGGGUGUGGGAGGGAUUGGGAAAGCGCGAGUCCUUGGCCGCGGAGACCCCAGAGGCGCUCCUGAGGAGACCGCGGAGUGGGAGCCGGACGCUUGAGGGAGUUUAUCGAAGGCCUGGCGGCGGGGUGACCAGGAGGCUCCAGUUUUCCUGACGGAGUUGGCGGCAGAGGUUGAGGGAAGGAAAAGGGAGAGCCCUGCCGAGGUGUGGGAACUACAAGUACCCGCUUUCUCACUGUCACCCCAUCCCCACAGGGGCCUCUGAGUGAUCCGAGUGUGUCCUGUGGGCGCGCUCUCCGCAGCCCGCGUCCCCACCGUGAGACCUUAAGGCCGAGAGGGCGUGGCGGGCGCGGUAACCGACCGCGGGGGCCGCCGGGUGGCGGGCAGCUGGGCGCUGGUUCCCCGGAGAAAACGGGAUCUUCUCAAGGUUCGGCUUCUGUUGCCUCUUACCUCUUGGUUUUCUGGAAGAGGCUGUGAAAAAGCCAAGUAACUUAUCGACCUUGAUCUUCAAAAUGGUUUUCUAAAGAGAUAGUAGGACUAAUCAAGGAAAAUAGGCUGUUUCACCCAUGGGAAAAGACCAGAAAUGAAUGGAAUACUAUCUUAAACAAGUCAAAAAUCUGUUACAACAUUUAUACUACUUGAAUGAAGAAAGGUAAAAAACCCCACAAAAUUCCAUCUGAUAAUUAUUACCCCAUUCAGACAUUGGUGAAUUUGUCCCUCAAUCCAAGUCAACCUUCCUCAUCAGAGAUAGGUAAAAAAGAGUACAUCACCUUCCCAGCUCUUAUUGAUUUUCCUUCACUUCCUUUCCAGGAAUAACUGAAAUCUCUUUAUUACAGAUUGAGAGAGAGAAGAUUAUCAAACAAAUUAAACAAGUAAAGGAAGAAAGACAAUAUCUGGAAACAAUAAGAAAAGAACUAAUAUCAAAGCAAUAUCAUGCCUGUGGUAGUUGGAAGGAAAAAUACUUUGAAACAAAGGAAGUCACAGCAUCAUUGGAAGAGGUUUUAACAAAACAUCAAGAAGAUUUAGAACUCUAUUAUAAAAAAGUGCUCCUGCAACUUGAAGCCAGGGAGGUCAAUAUGAAACCAAAGAAUAUGGCAAACACCACAGACUCUAAGAUCACUGAAGUACAGCAAGAAAUUGACCAACUUAAGAGAAAAUUGGUUACUGAGAAAAUGAAGCACAUCAUAGAAGCUAAGAUGAGAAAACAAGCAAUUUCAGAUGUAUGCAUACUGAAAGCUGAACUCACAGAAUAAAAUUGAUACAUCUUUACAGCCUGUUAGGAUUCCAGAAAGAGAACUCUUUACUUGCUUCAUAAUUAUUUUAUAGGGCACCUGACGUCCUGCAGCAUCACUACAUGGAGCUCCCCGGAAAGGGACUUUUGCAAUGGGAGCAUUGGCUGCUGCAAUACAUUCUGACCAGAUCUGACUUUGUUCAUCGUAAGACAUCACAAAGAGAAAGUCACAAGCAUCUGCAAU